AACGAACGCUGGCGGCAGGCCUAACACAUGCAAGUCGAACGCCCCGCAAGGGGAGUGGCGCACGGGUGAGUAACACGUGGGAACCUGCCCUUCGGUUCGGGACACCCCAGGGAAAAUGGGGAUAAUACCGGAUGAGCUCCGCAAGUAGGGAAGAUUCAUCGCCGAAGGAGGGGCCAGGGCCGGAUUAGGUAGUUGGUGGGGUAACGGCCUCACAAGCCUCCGACCCGUAGCCGGUAUGAGAGGAUGAUCGGCCACACUGGGACUGAGAACCGGCCCAGACUCCUACGGGAGGCAGCAGUGGGGAAUAUUGGACAAUGGGGGCAACCCUGAUCCAGCCAUGCCGCGUGAGUGAUGAAGGCCUUCGGGUUGUAAAGCUCUUUCGCGCACGACGAUGAUGACGGUAGUGCGAGAAGAAGCCUCGGCUAACUCCGUGCCAGCCGCCGCCGUAA
rnacentral:rRNA from 1 species